UCCGGGUCGAGGAUCUGCGAUCCGGGACGGAGCCCUGGUCCCGGUCCGGGGGUACCCACUGCUGCCUCCCUGCUUUGCCCUCGCGCGAGCGGACCCGGCGGCUGGUGGCAAUGUCUCCUUGGGCCAGGCUCCUCUCCAGCACCUCCAGGGUCAGCCUGCUGCUGCUGCUGGGCUCUGUGCUCCUCUCCUGCUCCAGCCUGGGACAGAGAGUGCCUGAGUUUGCCCUUACAAAAAUAGAAGAGAGCGACAUAAAAGAUGACAGUGGGAAGGAGCUGGGGACCGAGGAUGACGCUGAUCCUGAAG